AGUAAUGCCGCCUACCUCAUAAGAGCCAUUCCUUCAGCACACAUGUAUUGAGCGCCUACUGUGUGCCAGGCCCUGCUGCAGGCCCAUGGGAUUGGGGGGUGCAAAGUCCCAGGCCUGGUGGACCUGUCUUGAGACAAACAGGAGACAUUGAAUAAUACAUGAUCCAGAUUCCUGGCUGGUCAGAUGGAGGAUCAUCGUCGUCGUCAUCAUCAGCUACCCAGCCUGCCUCCUGAGGUGAAUGUAACUUCUUGGGCAUGGGUGUUCCCAUCUGGAAAGUGGCGUUAGAACUCCAGUCUCCUCACCUGGCAGGGGGCCUCAACUUAGGUGGCUGGUACAGGAAUCGAACGCUGUACCUUGGUGUUAUCAGUACCACACUAACCAACUGAGCUAACUGGCCAGCCCUAUAUUUUCUAAAAAU